AUUGAACGCUGGCGGCAGGCCUAACACAUGCAAGUCGAGCGGAUGAAGGGAGCUUGCUCCUGGAUUCAGCGGCGGACGGGUGAGUAAUGCCUAGGAAUCUGCCUGGUAGUGGGGGAUAACGUCCGGAAACGGGCGCUAAUACAGCAUACGUCCUGAGGGAGAAAGUGGGGGAUCUUCGGACCUCACGCUAUCAGAUGAGCCUAGGUCGGAUUAGCUAGUUGGUGGGGUAAAGGCCUACCAAGGCGACGAUCCGUAACUGGUCUGAGAGGAUGAUCAGCCACACUGGAACUGAGACACGGUCCAGACUCCUACGGGAGGCAGCAGUGGGGAAUCUUGGACAAUGGGCGAAAGCCUGAUCCAGCCAUGCCGCGUGUGUGAAGAAGGUCUUCGGAUUGUAAAGCACUUUAAGUUGGGAGGAACAGAAGUAAGUGUAUACCUUGCUGUCUUGACGUUACCAACAGAAUAAGCCACGGCUAACUUCGUG
rnacentral:rRNA from 1 species